ACCGUUUGCUUUUGUUUCAGUGGUAGAAUGCUCGCCUGCCACGCGGGCGCCCCUGGUGCGAUUCCCGGCCGAUGGUU
rnacentral:tRNA from 1 species